rnacentral:misc_RNA from 1 species
UCCUAGUUAACCUAGGCAGUCUCAUUAGAGUUCCCACCAUUACGUGUUGGCAACUAAUGACAAGGGUUGCGCUCGUUGCGGGACUUAACCCAACACCUCACGGCACGAGCUGACGACAGCCAUGCAGCACCUGUGCAGAGACCCCGAAGGGAAAUAUAAUCUCUUAUAUCGUCCUCUGCAUGUCAAGUCUGGGUAAGGUUCUUCGCGUUGCAUCGAAUUAAACCACAUACUCCACUGCUUGUGCGGGUCCCCGUCAAUUCUUUUGAGUUUCACCCUUGCGAGUGUACUCCUCAGGCGGUAUACUUAUCGCGUUAGCUACGACACAACUGGGGUUGAGUCCAGUUACAUCUAGUAUACAUCGUUUACGGCAAGGACUAC